AUCAGCAGCAAAUGGGAGGGAAGAAGGAGGUAGUUGGCAGUGAAGUUUGCUUGGUGGUUGUGGUGUACCUCAAAGGGCCACUAGCUCCAGGGUGUGUGCAGACUCAAGAAGCCUGGACAGUGACAACCUGGGAGAUAUACUUGGGGAGCCAGCAGAAGGAAGGGAGGCAAGGAAAGGAGAGCCUUCCCCAAAGUGGCACAAACCCACUGCUUAGCAUUAUGUGUGUGUGGUUGCUGCAGCCAUAGAACAAUUCCAGCAUUGCUGCAUGGUGAGCCAAGGGAGAGACGGCUCCUUUAAGGCAACUUGGAGACUCCAUUUGGGUCUUAAUCAGAGCAGAGAUAAUGAAAGUAAGGCUGGCCCUCAUUCCUUCCUCCCAACCUGACAGCUCCUUGUUGUGUGACUUUGGACAAGUGUCUCCUCAAUUUGAGGAUGUAGAUAUGCAAAUCACCAGGCACUCACCUGGCCCAUGGCAGAGUCUCAAUAAAUGCUGGUUCUCUGCUUUCUCCCCCUUUAAGGUAGGAAGUACAAGGAUCAUAAUUACCACUUUGUUGGUAAGGAGACUGGAACCCAUGAAGGGGGAGUGAUUUGUCCAAUAUCACACAUCAGGCGAGUCUCAGAAGUGGGGCCAGAAAGUGGUUCUCAUGGGCCCAACUGCCCCCUCUUUCCUGCCACCAGAGAGGGUGCUAACCCCUAGCAACUGGGUCCCCUCCUGUCCACAGACACUUUACCAUCAGACCUUGGAUGCUCUACAGACAUUGCUUAAUGCCCUCUUUAUUGAAGACCCCACUCCUG
rnacentral:lncRNA from 1 species